ACGAUGGUGUGUAAGUCGCUUCGGCGUCGUGUUUUUAACGGUCGGUGUCCGCGUUCGAACGAGCGGGAAAGGUCCAUUUAGUUCGAUGAUCGAUGCGGGAGCUUAUCGAACAUCUUGUCAUCGUUGUCGGGCCGCGGUAAACGAUGUUCGGUGGUAGUUCGAGAGCGACGAACGCGAGGAAAGGAAAAAGGUGGGAGAAGAAGGAAGAGGAACGAGAAGGAGAUUGUAAGAUAGCGGGCGGAUCACAGGUCCCGCAACCAAAAGCAACGACGCCUAUGCAGCACGUUUAUAUGCGGCAGUUUAUUUCGGCGAGAACGAUACUUUGGAGCUUCGGGAGGAGGAGGAGGAAGAGAAGAGGAGACAAAGAAAAGAAACAAGGUGAUCGAGAGAGAGAGAGAGAGAGAAAGAUGCGCGAGCAAUGUUACAUCAAGUGCAAAUGAAAGGCAUGGUGAUGCAAGUCAAUGAUGAGGAAAAGGAGGAAGGGCAGGAGAGGCGGCGGCGUUCGCCAGAUACGGCCUCCGCGCGCGAAUCCAUCGGGGAAGGUGGAUGGUAUCUGGGGAUACCGGAGGCCGCGCGGCGGUGUAAAUGCAAUCAAGAGGGCCUCAAUUAGACCGUCACGCUGUACAUCCCUCAUUUCAAAGUCCCUCGGCUUCUCUCUCUCGGGCUCAUCUUCGCCACGUCCACGUCCCCGGUCUCCCGACCAUCGAUUUCGUCUUCCUCUUCUGGAUCCUGAGGCGGGAAGGAGAGGAGCGCGACGUUGGAACUUUGUUACGAGAUAAACGAUUAAGGUGGUUUUGGCGGAGGCGCAUACAUAUUCGAGAAUAUGCGUAAGAAGCUGCGAGGGAAGGAACAUAGGUUGCAGCAUGCUACACCGAGAUAGCGGGGAUUCGGCCUAAUCUAUGCUGUUUGGGACCGAAAAGCAACAUUGGCUGCUAUAAGUUUAUAUGAGGCAAAUAUAGAAAUGCUAGACCAUCCAAGAAAAAAAGAAAAGUAUGGGACGCAAUAAGAACUGGACUACUGCAGUUAGGAAUAAAGGUAUUUUACUUUCUUUGUCAAUAAUAGUAUAACUAUUAUUGACUAAACAUUUACAUGAUAUUAGGUGCUGAACAAAUUUUAAAGAUUUUAUCACGUGACUAAAUUUUGAAUAUCUAUGACAACAUAUCACCUUAUCUCUCAGUUCGUGUCUACACUCAAUCACGACACAACGAAAUAAGUAAUAGACAUUAUUCAUGCUGAAGUGUUAAUUGUU